rnacentral:rRNA from 1 species
GCGUCGUUCGGAUUCAUUGGGCGUAAAGGAUGCGUAGGUGGCGGGGUAAGUCAGGUGUGAAAUUUCGGAGCUUAACUCCGAAACUGCAUUUGAUACUGCCUUGCUCGAGGACUGGAGAGGAGACUGGAAUUUACGGUGUAGCAGUGAAAUGCGUAGAGAUCGUAAGGAAGACCAGUGGCGAAGGCGGAUCUCUGGACAGUUCCUGACACUGAGGCACGAAGGCCAG